GAUGAACGCUAGCGGCAGGCUUAACACAUGCAAGUCGAGGGGCAGCGGGGUGUAGCAAUACAUCGCCGGCGACCGGCGCACGGGUGCGUAACACGUAUGGAACCUGCCCUUUACUGGGAGAUAGCCCUCCGAAAGGAGGAUUAAUAUCCCAUAACAAAUGAGGUGGCAUCACCUUGUUUUGAAAGCUCCGGCGGUAAAGGAUGGCCAUGCGCACGAUUAGCUAGUUGGUGAGGUAACGGCUCACCAAGGCUACGAUCGUUAGGGGGCCUGAGAGGGUUAUCCCCCACACUGGUACUGAGACACGGACCAGACUCCUACGGGAGGCAGCAGUGAGGAAUAUUGCGCAAUGGAGGCAACUCUGACGCAGCCAUGCCGCGUGCAGGAAGAAGGCGCUACGCGUUGUAAACUGCUUUUAACCGGGAAGAAACCCCUUUACGUGUAAAGGGUUGACGGUACCGGAGGAAUAAGCACCGGCUAACUUCGUG
rnacentral:rRNA from 1 species